rnacentral:rRNA from 1 species
GCUUGGGAACUUGCCUUUGCGAGGGGGAUAACAGUUGGAAACGACUGCUAAUACCGCAUAAUGUCUUCGGACCAAACGGGGCUUCGGCUCCGGCGCAAAGAGAGGCCCAAGUGAGAUUAGCUAGUUGGUAAGGUAACGGCUUACCAAGGCGACGAUCUCUAGCUGUUCUGAGAGGAAGAUCAGCCACACUGGGACUGAGACACGGCCCAGACUCCUACGGGAGGCAGCAGUGGGGAAUAUUGCACAAUGGGGGAAACCCUGAUGCAGCCAUGCCGCGUGUGUGAAGAAGGCCUUCGGGUUGUAAAGCACUUUCAGUUGUGAGGAAAAGUUAGUAGUUAAUACCUGCUAGCCGUGACGUUAACAACAGAAGAAGCACCGGCUAACUCCGUGCCAGCAGCCGCGGUAAUACGGAGGGUGCGAGCGUUAAUCGGAAUUACUGGGCGUAAAGCGCACGCAGGCGGUUUGUUAAGCUAGAUGUGAAAGCCCCGGGCUCAACCUGGGAUGGUCAUUUAGAACUGGCAGACUAGAGUCUUGGAGAGGGGAGUGGAAUUCCAGGUGUAGCGGUGAAAUGCGUAGAUAUCUGGAGGAACAUCAGUGGCGAAGGCGACUCCCUGGCCAAAGACUGACGCUCAUGUGCGAAAGUGUGGGUAGCGAACAGGAUUAGAUACCCUGGUAGUUCACACCGUAAACGCUGUCUACUAAGCUGUGUGUGUCUUAUAAGGACG